rnacentral:rRNA from 1 species
CGCCCAACAGCUAGCCCACCCAUCAACCCCAAAUUUACUCUAUUUAUACCCCCAAACACACCACCAUCCAACAAACAAACCAUUUUUCCACCUAAGUACGGGCGACGAAAAAGAAUCUAGGAGCAACAGAGAAAGUACCGCAAGGGAAAGCUGAAAGAGUAAUGAAACAACCCAGUAAAGCACUAAAAAGCAGAGAACAUCCCUCGUACCUUUUGCAUCAUGAUUUAGCCAGUAAACCUUAAGCAAAAAGCAUUAUAGUUUAACACCCCGAAACUAAGCGAGCUACUCCAAGGCAGUCUAAUUUAUAGGACCACCCCGUCUCUGUGGCAAAAGAGUGGGACGAACUUUGAGUAGAGGUGACAGACCUACCGAGCCUAGUUAUAGCUGGUUGCCUGAAAACUGAAUAGAAGUUCAGCCCUCUAAAUUCUUUCUCCUGGUGGUCCAGACCUUACCCCGACCAAAGGAAUUAAAGGAGUUAGUCAAAGGGGGUACAGCCCCUUUGGAACCAGAAACAACUUUUCCAGGAGGAUAAAGAUCAUACCAACUUAAGGUCAAUGUUUUAGUGGGCCUAAAAGCAGCCAUCUACUCAGAAAGCGUUAAAGCUCGGACAUGCACAAUCAACCUUCCAAUACAGACAACACAAUCUCACCCCCCUUAAGCCUAUCAGGCCGUUCCAUAAGAAUAUGGAAGCGUUUAUGCUAAAAUGAGUAAUAAGAGAGCCCUCCCUCUCUCCCCGCACAAGUGUAAGUCGGAACGAACCAUUCACCGACCAUUAACGGCCCCAACACAAAGAGGGCACUAGACAAAAAAUGAACAACUAGAAAACCACCUAACCCCCCCACCGUUGACCCCACACUGGUGUGCCAAUUGGGAAAGACUAAAGGAAAAAGAAGGAACUCGGCAAACACAAGCCUCGCCUGUUUACCAAAAACAUCGCCUCUUGAGGCCCAAAAUAUAAGAGGUCCCGCCUGCCCUGUGACUGUAA